CCUCGGAUCAGGUAGGGAUACCCGCUGAACUUAAGCAUAUCAAUAAGCGGAGGAAAAGAAACCAACAGGGAUUACCUCAGUAACGGCGAGUGAAGCGNUAACAGCUCAAAUUUGAAAUCUGGCUCUUUCAGGGUCCGAGUUGUAAUUUGUAGAAGAUGCUUUGGGUGUGGCUCCGGUCUAAGUUCCUUGGAACAGGACGUCAUAGAGGGUGAGAAUCCCGUAUGUGACUGGAAGCUUUCGCCCGUGUAAAGCUCUUUCGACGAGUCGAGUUGUUUGGGAAUGCAGCUCAAAAUGGGUGGUAAAUUUCAUCUAAAGCUAAAUAUUGGCCAGAGACCGAUAGCGCACAAGUAGAGUGAUCGAAAGAUGAAAAGCACUUUGGAAAGAGAGUUAAACAGUACGUGAAAUUGUUGAAAGGGAAGCGCUUGCAACCAGACUCGCAAUCCGUCGAUCAUCCAGGGUUCUCCCCGGUGCACUCGGCGGUUUUCGGGCCAGCAUCGGUUUCGGUGGUGGGAUAAAGGCCUUGGGAAUGUAGCUUCUUUCGGGGAGUGUUAUAGCCCUCGGUGCAAUGCCGCCUACUGGGACCGAGGACCGCGCUUCGGCUAGGAUGCUGGCGUAAUGGUUGUAAGCGACC
rnacentral:rRNA from 1 species